rnacentral:rRNA from 1 species
GACGAACGCUGGCGGCGUGCCUAAUACAUGCAAGUCGAACGAGAGCGCCCGGUGCUUGCACUGGUCAAUCUAGUGGCGAACGGGUGAGUAACACGUGGGUAACCUGCCCAUCAGAGGGGGAUAACAUUCGGAAACGGAUGCUAAAACCGCAUAGGUCUUCGAACCGCAUGGUUUGAAGAGGAAAAGAGGCGCAAGCUUCUGCUGAUGGAUGGACCCGCGGUGCAUUAGCUAGUUGGUGAGGUAACGGCUCACCAAGGCCGUGAUGCAUAGCCGACCUGAGAGGGUGAUCGGCCACAUUGGGACUGAGACACGGCCCAAACUCCUACGGGAGGCAGCAGUAGGGAAUCUUCCGCAAUGGACGCAAGCCUGACGGAGCAACGCCGCGUGAGUGAAGAAGGUUUUCGGAUCGUAAAACUCUGUUGUUAGAGAAGAAUAAGUGCUAGAGUAACUGUUAGCGCCUUGACGGUAUCUAACCAGAAAGCCACGGCUAACUACGUG